GAUGAACGCUGGCGGCGUGCCUAAUACAUGCAAGUCGAGCGAACAGAUAAGGAGCUUGCUCCUUUGACGUUAGCGGCGGACGGGUGAGUAACACGUGGGUAACUUACCUAUAAGACUGGAAUAACUCCGGGAAACCGGGGCUAAUGCCGGAUAACAUGUUGAACCGCAUGGUUCUACAGUGAAAGGCGGCUUUGCUGUCACUUAUAGAUGGACCCGCGCCGUAUUAGCUAGUUGGUGAGGUAACGGCUCA
rnacentral:rRNA from 1 species